rnacentral:tRNA from 1 species
UCCCUGGUAGUCUAGUGGUUAGGAUUUGGCUCUUUCACUGCUGAGCCCUGGGUUUAAUCCUGGUCUGGGAA